ACAGAGGGUGCGAGCGUUGUUCGGAAUUACUGGGCGUAAAGCGCGCGCAGGCGGCCCUUUAAGUCUACCCGUGAAAUGCCGGAGCUCAACUCCGUGCACGCCGGGGGAUACUGGGGGGCUGGAGACAGGUAGAGGCAAGCGGAAUUCCGGGUGUAGCGGUGGAAUGCGUAGAUAUCCGGAAGAACACCUGAGGCGAAGGCGGCUUGCUGGGCCUGAUCUGACGCUGAGGCGCGAAAGCGUGGGGAGCAAACAGGA
rnacentral:rRNA from 1 species